rnacentral:piRNA from 1 species
AUGUUUGUGCUAAGGCUUGAC